GCUUGAUCGAUGCUGUCUACGUUGCAUGUGCACUAUACGACGACACUGAUCCCAUACAGAAACUCAGGAUGGACUGUACAGUCAUCCUGCAUAACUGUUUCCCUACAAGCGUGGAAGAAUAGCAAGCUAUUGCAGGGGACUUUGACAGGUGCUGGAAUUUCCCAAACUGUGGUGAUGCGAUAGACAGGAAAUGUGCACAUCACCAAACCCACCAACAGCAGACUUGGCUGAUUUGAAUCAUAUGGGCAAAGAAAGUCCCUUGUAUAGUACAGAAUCCAUGAACAUGGUCCUUGCUGUUUUAGCUAAACUUUUAUCGAAGUCCGUGCUGUUAUUACGGUCAGCCCAGCUGGGAUGCCACGGAGGAGUGGACGGGUAUCAAGCAGCAGUAAGGUCUGAGUACUGGAGUUGCACAGCAGAGAUCCCAGAUGCCCAGGGACUGGAGAGAGAGACCCAUAUGGAAGAAGAAGGCAGGCGACCGCGGCAGCACUGUGAGUGACUCAGUCACUCUAGGGGGUGAAUC